AGAUUGAACGCUGGCGGCAUGCCUUACACAUGCAAGUCGAACGGCAGCACGGGAGCAAUCCUGGUGGCGAGUGGCGAACGGGUGAGUAAUACAUCGGAACGUGCCCAAUCGUGGGGGAUAACGCAGCGAAAGCUGUGACUAAUACCGCAUAAGAUCUACGGAUGAAAGCGAGGGAUCGCAAGACCUUGCGCGAAUGGAGCGGCCGAGUGGCAGAUUAGGUAGUUGGUAGAGGUAAAGGCU
rnacentral:rRNA from 1 species